GCUGGGCAUGGUGGCACAUGCCUGUAAUCUCAGUGGCUUGGGAGGCUGAGGCAGGAGGACUGCAAGUUCAAAACCAGCCUCAGCAACUUAGUGAGGCACUUAGCAACUCAACAAGACCCUGUCUCUA
rnacentral:sRNA from 1 species